rnacentral:rRNA from 1 species
AUUGAACGCUGGCGGCAGGCUUAACACAUGCAAGUCGAGCGGGGACUUCGGUCCUAGCGGCGAACGGGUGAGGAAUGCUUGGGAAUCUGCCCAGUAGAGGGGGAUAACGUUUCGAAAGGAACGCUAAUACCGCAUACGCCCUACGGGGGAAAGGGGGGGAUCUUCGGACCUCUCACUAUUGGAUGAGCCCAAGUCGGAUUAGCUAGUUGGUGGGGUAAAGGCCUACCAAGGCGAAGAUCCGUAGCUGGUCUGAGAGGAUGAUCAGCCACACUGGAACUGAGACACGGUCCAGACUCCUACGGGAGGCAGCAGUGGGGAAUAUUGGACAAUGGGCGAAAGCCUGAUCCAGCCAUGCCGCGUGUGUGAAGAAGGCCUUCGGGUUGUAAAGCACUUUAAGCGAGGAGGAAUGGCUGAGGGUUAAUAACCUUCAGCAGUGACGUUACUCGCAGAAUAAGCACCGGCUAACUCUGUGCCAGCCGCCGCAGUAACAC